GACGAACGCUGGCGGCGUGCUUAACACAUGCAAGUAGAGCGGAGCGGCGAACGGGUGAUUAACGCGUGAUUAACUGCCCCCCUUUCUGGGAUAACAGUUGGAAACGGCUUCUAAUAACGGAUAGUGGGGGUUGUUUCGCGUCCUAUCAGCUUGUUGGGGGGGUAUUGGCCUACAAAUGCGACGACGGGUAGCCGGCCUGAGAGGGCGACAGGCCACAUUGUGCUGGGAAACGGCCCGAACGCAUACGUGAGGCAGCAGGGGGGAAUAUGGCACAAUGGGGGAAACCAGGAUGCAGGAACGCCGCGUGCGGGAUGACUGCCUUCGGGUUGGAACCCGCUUUCAGCCAUGACGCGGUAGUGGCAGAAGAAGCACCGGCUAACUACGUGCCAGCAGCCGCGGUAAUAC
rnacentral:rRNA from 1 species